CCCAUUAUAUUUGAAUCAGAUCAAUAUCCCCUUUCUUUUUUAAUAACCCCACAAUAAUGCUGCUGCUCUACACGACAUCAAACUCCAAUAUAUGUGAGUAGUACUACUACUUAAUUUGCAGCAAAAUAAGACAGCACCUCAGUAAAUCCAAGAAAGGCAGAAAUAAAAUGGUCCAAAAAGGAACUCAUCUGAUCUAAGAAAAAUCAAAACAUCCCAGUAGGUCUAUGACAACAAAACCCUCACAACCACUAUUCAGCACCUGUGUGGCCUAUCCACUCCCUGCCCCCUUCGUGUGAGGAAAUAAACGAUGCCUCCUGCAUGUCAGCAACAAGAAACGGGGAAAUUGAUGGAGGAAACAUGAAUGUUGAAUAUUCAAUUAAAGAACAUGGAAGGUGGAUGAGAUGUGCCAAAACAGGAUGGUAUAAAAGCAACUGGUAUUCCUGGAGAUGGAAAACAAGCAGCAUACAACAUCGGUGGCUAACCUGGAUCCUUGACUUUUUUUGUACUAUGGGAGGCCAGCAGGCUACUGGCUAAUGAAGCAGGUCUGUUCCUAUAUGUAAAUUUUUCUCCAAUAAACAUAUCAAUUUUCCAUCAAAUAGUUUAUAUGCUCGGUUCGAUGCUCCAUCUUUCUAUGUGCAAAACUACAACAUACAUGAAGGUCUGCAACAUUUGACAGCAAUCGGCACCAUUUGGGACAUGGCAAAAUAGAGUUGAUAAAUCUGUAAUAUCUAGCAGACCAGCACUAGCAGAAAAAUAAUUAAUUAAUGUGUUGUAAGAUUACGACUGUUUAACACUUUCUAGAGUAAUUAAAGUUGCUACACAACAUUCCAUAAUCAAGUUCUCAAAAGCUCAGAAAAGACGCAUCAAUUUCAUAAAACAAAAUGUCCUUUGUCCUAAGUUAUAUUAGAAACACACACAACAUAUAUAUGCAAGGAUCAUGACAAGAAGUAGCAGACCUUUUAAGAGCCAAUUCUAGAAAAUAGACAAUGAAUAGAGGACCCAAAUCAUCUUAAAAUUAAGAUUUAAAAUUUAAAAUUUGGUUGUGGCUUAUAGGUUUGUUAUUGCUCUUGUCAUUACAAAAUGACAUUGCAACAUUUAUCUUUUCUCUCCAGCUUAUUAAAGCCUAUUUGCAUGGAAGUAAUUGUUCAGGUAGCAACAUAACAAAUGGAAAAAUCAACAAAGAAGAAUGUAGGAUGCCAGUUAAGCAUAGAUUAGGAUAGUGGAUAGAGGAUAAAGGCAAAUUUUUGUACGCAACACUCAAAGAUUGUGUAAUUAAAUUUACUAGUAGACAUCACAAAAUGUGUCUAGGCUUAAGGACACUUCCAAAAACUGCUAAUUUGUUGGAAGUUACUUCAUGCAUUAUUUUAUUAUUUCUGUUUCAGUUGGAGAAAGAAAUUAUUCAAAAAGAUGAGAAUGCCCUCUGGUCACAUGGUUUCUACCCUAGUGCCAAGUAAAGAUGGAAUACGAUGUGUGGUAGCAAUGUACUAGAGGUUGUGACAAAAAUGAGAGUGACAUAAUGUAUAGCUUGAAAAUAUUGAAAUUUGGGAAAUUUGAAAAUGUUACAAAAUGUACCAAGGCCACCACUUCAGCAUUUUGGAGAGGAUCGGGGAUGAGAUGGUCUGCAAUAUGUAUCAUGCUGUUAUGAGGGACAAAUUUGUCAUUUCAAUACAAUUUUUCUCUCUAUUUGGGCUACAAAUUAAUAAAAUAAUGGUUA
rnacentral:lncRNA from 1 species